rnacentral:rRNA from 1 species
GACGUAGGGCGCGAGCGUUUGUCCGGAUUUAUUGGGCGUAAAGAGCUCGUAGGCGGCUUGUCGCGUCGAAUGUGAAAACUCGGGGCUCAACUCCGAGCUUGCAUUCGAUACGGGCAGGCUAGAGUUCGGUAGGGGAGGACUGGAAUUCCUGGUGUAGCGGUGAAAUGCGUAGAGAUCCGGAGGAACACCGACGGCGAAGGCAGCGCCCUGGACACGACCUGACGCUCAGGCACGAAAGCGCGGGGAGCGAACAGG